UUCCAUUCCCGUUGUCCCUUGAACAUCACUGACAUUAAAACUAAAGUUAUUGAAUUGAAAAUGUAUCAAUUUUCAUUUUGGUAUACACCAUUCGAGAACUGACAUUCCAUUCACGAACAUUAAAUCCUGGAGCAAAACAUGCGAUUCAUAUCCGUUGAAUUGUCUCCCCUGCACACUCGAAUACCGUGCUUUAAGGGGGAAAAGGAAAGAAUUUCAAUGAUCAUUAGGUACUCAUCAAAACUUCCAUACACAACAUUAUGUAUUUCAGCCGUCUACAGGAAAUUUUGCGCUAUCCGGCGUGAAAUUGCAGGCCCUUUAUGGGCUAGGUUUACAGCAGUAUUGCUGCAUGAAAAUCAUACUGUACCUCUUUUAUUGGAACCCGCCUUUAGUAUAUCAGAUGAUAUAUGUGGCAAUGCUAGCAUACUUACCUGGUACAGGGGCUACCGUGAUCAGGAACGGCGGUGCCCCCAGGUCGAGGCCUAACCAUUGCACUCCGGUCGGGCUGAACCCUGCGAUAAUCCCAAAUGCGGAUUACUCGGGUACGCUAUUUUUUAGUGUGGGGGUCUGCGUUCGCGCUAACCCCUGUUCAUAAAGUAACAAGAGAACAACAAUGCCCACGUAUAUAGCGACAUUCAACGCUACAUUUACACUUAAUCAACAUGCUUUAUGGUAUUGGUUUCCUAAGAAAAUGAUAAACCAGCAACACAAAGAAUGCUACAGAGUACCAAACACAGUAUAAUUCAACACGUUCAAGCUUUAUAAUUUCCAAACGAAUGGCAAUCGUAAUUUCAUAAUGCAUUCACAUUAUGUAUGAUCUCUUAACAUCACCGAAAACUAUUUUAAUAGUGGUAGCAUUUGCUCCGGGUAUCAUGCAAAAUAUAUUCUUCACAUGUCACACAAGGUAGCACACUACAGUAGGACAGCCUGGCCAUGGGCGAUUUUUUUUUGUUAAGCAAAUAACUCCUGUAUUAUGAUAUGCAUAAAAAUGAAAAAAUAAAUGUACACUAUAAUUGGUAUAUUCAGUAUGAAGUAGUACAUACAUGCUUCACAUUUGUUAAAACAAAAUUUAAUGAAUUGGUACCCGAUUUUAAAUUUCAGGAUUUUCCGAAAGCGCGUUUACAGAGGAAAUUUAGUUUUGCCUACAGCGAAAAUGGAAGUCCACAGUAAAGAAUUGGGCAUUCUUACUGUACACUGCUACCACAAUCAAAAUUGUCUCUGAAAGGUGUUUUAGACGACUCAAUCUGAGGCAGACGAAAGCCUCAACGAAUCUUCGUAUUUCUCUGUGACUGGACAGCGCCUUACAUGCAAUCAAACUUUCCAUACACAACAUUAUGUAUUUCAGUUUCUGUCUACGGGAAAUUUUGCGCUGUCAGGCGAGAAAUUGCCGGCCCUAUUUGAGCUAGGUUUACAACAGUAUUGCUGCAUGAACAUUCUACUGUACCUCUUUUAUUGAAACCAGGCUUUCAAAGAAUUUACAUGUCGUACUAUUGAUCGAGUUCUACGUAUUCAAAGUAUUUCAAUAUGUUCCAUUCCCGUUGUCCCUUGAACAUCACUGACAUUAAAACUAAAGUUAUUGAAUUGAAAAUGUAUCAAUUUUCAUUUUGGUAUACACCAUUCGAGAACUGACAUUCCAUUCACGAACAUUAAAUCCUGGAGCAAAACAUGCGAUUCAUAUCCGUUGAAUUGUCUCCCCUGCACACUCGAAUACCGUGCUUUAAGGGGGAAAAGGAAAGAAUUUCAAUGAUCAUUAGGUACUCAUCAAAACUUCCAUACACAACAUUAUGUAUUUCAGCCGUCUACAGGAAAUUUUGCGCUAUCCGGCGUGAAAUUGCAGGCCCUUUAUGGGCUAGGUUUACAGCAGUAUUGCUGCAUGAAAAUCAUACUGUACCUCUUUUAUUGGAACCCGCCUUUAGUAUAUCAGAUGAUAUAUGUGGCAAUGCUAGCAUACUUACCUGGUACAGGGGCUACCGUGAUCAGGAACGGCGGUGCCCCCAGGUCGAGGCCUAACCAUUGCACUCCGGUCGGGCUGAACCCUGCGAUAAUCCCAAAUGCGGAUUACUCGGGUACGCUAUUUUUUAGUGUGGGGGUCUGCGUUCGCGCUAACCCCUGUU